UACGUAGGGUGCGAGCGUUAAUCGGAAUUACUGGGCGUAAAGCGUGCGCAGGCGGUUUUGUAAGCCAGAUGUGAAAGCCCCGGGCUCAACCUGGGAAUGGCAUUUGGGACUGCAAGGCUAGAGUACGGCAGAGGGAGGUGGAAUUCCAGGUGUAGCAGUGAAAUGCGUAGAUAUCUGGAGGAACACCGAUGGCGAAGGCAGCCUCCUGGGCUAGUACUGACGCUCAUGCACGAAAGCGUGGGGAGCAAACAGG
rnacentral:rRNA from 1 species